rnacentral:rRNA from 1 species
AUUGAACGCUGGCGGAAUGCUUUACACAUGCAAGUCGAGCGGCAGCGCGGGGCAACCUGGCGGCGAGCGGCGAACGGGUGAGUAACAUAUCGGAACGUACCCAGUCGUGGGGGAUAACUAUCCGAAAGGAUAGCUAAUACCGCAUACGACCUGAGGGUGAAAGCGGGGGACCGAAAGGCCUCGCGCGAUUGGAGCGGCCGAUAUCGGAUUAGCUAGUUGGUGAGGUAAAGGCUCACCAAGGCGACGAUCCGUAGCUGGUCUGAGAGGACGACCAGCCACACUGGAACUGAGACACGGUCCAGACUCCUACGGGAGGCAGCAGUGGGGGAAUUUUGGACAAUGGGGGCGAACCCUGAUCCAGCCAUUCCGCGUGAGUGAAGAAGGCCU